ACAGCCCCGUGGUGAAUAACAUGUUGGAUUGCAAAUCCAAAGACGCAGAUUAACACUCUGCCGGGGC
rnacentral:tRNA from 1 species